rnacentral:rRNA from 1 species
UACGUAGGGUGCAAGCGUUGUCCGGAAUUACUGGGCGUAAAGAGCUCGUAGGCGGUUUGUCGCGUCUGCUGUGAAAACUCGGGGCUUAACUCCGGGCCUGCAGUGGGUACGGGCAGACUAGAGUGCGGUAGGGGAGACUGGAAUUCCUGGUGUAGCGGUGAAAUGCGCAGAUAUCAGGAGGAACACCGGUGGCGAAGGCGGGUCUCUGGGCCGUAACUGACGCUGAGGAGCGAAAGCGUGGGGAGCAAACAGG